AAAGGAAUAGACGGGGACUCGCACAAGCGGUGGUUCAUGAGGUUCAAUUCGAUAGCAAACGAGGCACCUCACCAGGGCUUGACAUGUAGUCCUUAUGCUUUUUUUGAAAAGAAAAAGUUUUUACCGUAAGGUAAACGGACUGCACAGGUGCUGCAUGGUUGUCGUCAGCUCGUGCCGUGAGGCGUUCCCUUCAGUGGGGAAACGAGCGCAACCCUUGUUGUUUGUUUUUGUGUCAAACAAGACUACCCAGCUUUAAGCCUACAAAAUAUAGUUUUGCAGGUUUAAAGCUGGGUGGAAGUGGGGAUGACGCCAAAUCAGCAUGGCCCUUUGAUGCCCUGGGCGACACUCAUGAAACAAUGGUAUAUACAGCGGGUUGCUAAGCCGCGAGGCGGAGCUAAUCCCUUAAAGUAUACCUCAGUUCGGAUUGGAGUCUGAAACCCGACUCCAUGAAGCUGGAAUCGCUAGUAAACGCGUAUCAGCCAUGGCGCGUUGAAUACGUUCUCGAGUCCUGUACACACCGCCCGU
rnacentral:rRNA from 1 species